ACUUCAUCAAUUUCUCUCUGUAGCAGCUUCCUCGAUUCACCCGCGAUGAAGUCUCUCCGACCUUGUUGAAUUGAAUUUUACCUCCUCUGAUGAUGAUUGAGCUGAUUAAUCUGAAGGGGAGCUUGAAUUCAUUUGUAUUCGCCUUGUUGUCUCUAAUCUCAACUGCUCCUAUGUGUUCUUGUGUUGAAAUAAUGGUAUAACUUCUGAUCCGCCUUUUGAACACACCAUCGACCUUUUCUUGUUGACAAGUGCUGCUAUCUUCCAGGUAAUUCCCAUUCUUUAUAGUUAUCUUCAUUUUUUUGUACGCACAUCUAAACAUUUCCACUUUUUCAUAUGCAUGAGCUGCCAAGAUCCAAUUUAGUUGUUGUUGAUGUUGAUAGUACCAUCUUACAAGUUCCAAUCUGCUCUUCAAGCCAUCGUCUAUUUAUAUGGACGCCGUAUGCUGCUAUAUUAGAUGGUUUGCUGGCCUUUUGCAGGGCAGGUCAGGGGGGGAGGUCGCAUUGUCCAUUGAUACACCUGGACAUCGUAGAGGACCACAUGCCCGAGCAUGUCUUAUGACAGUUUGGGUCUACACAGAGUAUGCCCCCUGACGUCCGUCAUGAGCUCCGACACUACCAGCGGGACGAUCGGGCUGCCGCUGAUGAUGGUUUUUUGGCUUUCAAGGCUGUCCAGCUCCACCGUUGGGAGAACAGGUUGAGCAUUUUAGCGGUGGUCGGCCAUUUGACUCCCGUUGAGGAUUACAUGCGCUGGUAUCAUCAGAUCACACGCUGAUUGAUCAGCAACCCAACUUUGGGUCCCGCUAGGGAUGUAGGAUACUAGCACUGGCGGGGCAGUACGAGACAUUGUUGAACACAAAUGCAGCUGGUGGCCGUACAACGAUUACGCAUGUUGGGGUUAGAGCAUAUGCCUUACCCCGAGCUUGCGGGGCUUGCAGCGGAGAUGGUACGGAUAUCUGAGGAUGGUAUCCGGUAGGCAGGAGAGAUUAGGCGCAUGUAGGAGCCUGUUCUAGAGGCUGAGUAUCAGCCAGUACCCGGAGGAGGACCGGGUGCUCUUAGAGGAGGAGGCCGUGCUGCCAAAGGACGUUGUGCGCGUAGAGGACGCGGUGCUGCUGCUAGAGGACCUGGUGGUGGAGGACGCCAUCUGGUAGAUAAGGAAGAUGAGGCCAAUCUCAUUCCAGAGGACGUUCCCCUUCUAGUCCAUCCGCAGCCGUUCUAGGUUGGUGGCAGCUCACCCGGGGACUCACAUACGUUUGCGCCGGCGCUCCUACUUGCUGAGAUACCUGGGUCUUCAUCACAGCUGAGCCAGAAUGCAUACAUGGAGGAGCGUGAUAACAUCGAUUGGGCGGCGUUACGCGCUUCAUUAGCUUAUCAGCGACCUGAUUCGGCGCCAGCGGGUCCAGCAGAGCCACCCACUCAGGCGUUUUCUCAUGGGCCUGCCGAGCCAACAGUGUCUUCCCAUGUGACUGUCGAGCCACAGGAUUCAACGCCAGUGGGUCCACAGGAUAGGCGCAUUUAGGAGCCUCCUCAUCAACCUGCCGAGGCAGAGGUGUCUUCUCAUGAGACUACCGAGUGCAGGAGACUACUUCACAUUCUGCACCAGACCCAUCUCAAGAGCCUACUCAGGUGCCCGUUGAUACACAGGUUCAUCCUUCGGCUCCUGCGGUGGUGACUCCCAACGAGGAAGAGUUCGAGUUUCCAGACCCAUGUCAACAUGAGGUUCUGCCCGUGCUAGUGGGACUAGAUCCCAAGAAGAAGCACAUUCUAGUCAAGGGCGUACGGGCCAGGGGAAGACGAGAUGAUCAUGACUUGGAGCACCCGGUUAUUAAGAGGAAAAAGGGCGAUGGAGACGAUGGCGAGGGCAGUGGGGAUGGUAUGAGCCUUAAGCCUAAAGAUAGUCUCACGCAUACCACAUGUG